rnacentral:RNase_P_RNA from 1 species
GAGGAAAGUCCGGGCAACACAGAGCAUCGUACUUCCUAACGGGAAGGAUUCCGCUUUAGCGGGAGACAGAAAGUGCCACAGAAAACAAACUACUCGCGCUUAGGUGUGAGAAAAGGUGAAAAGGUGGGGUAAGAGCCCACCGGUCUUGAAAGUGAUUUCAGAUGCAUGGCAAACCUUACGAGUUGAAAGGCCAAAUAGGUCACGCUCACGAAAGUGAUUAGCUGCUCGCUGAUAGUGCAAGCUGGCGUGAUUGGGUAGGCUGCUUGAUUCUAAUGGCGACAUUAGGGCUAGAUAAAUGAUAGGCACUUCGAAAGAGGAACAGAACCCGGCUUAUGAAUUCCGACAGAACCCGGCUUA